CUUCACCGAGCCCAGCCACAGCGGCCGUCCGCGUUCGCGUCCGUACGUCGCCAGCAGCGCGUUCGCCUC
rnacentral:antisense_RNA from 1 species